AUGGAUGUGAAUGGAAAAUUAUCUGAUGGCGACUUAAAUAAAACAGAAGCUCUUCACUCGAAUGGACAGCCGGUAGAUGAUGUCAUAAUUAUAGAAUCUGAAGGGGAUGAGAACAAAGUUGUAGUAGAAACUAACAUCAUAGAAGGUCCAUUUGAGGAGCACAAGGAACACAGAUGUGGCAAAACGGACAAUAGUGUGCAUGAAGAAGCAUCCACUAGCACUGAUGAUGAUUCAGACAGUGACCUGUAUGGAUUUCUCCGCGAGUCAGAGAAUGAACAAACUUCAGAGUCUGAUGUUGAGGAGACAGACAUUGAGGUGGCUCUGCCCGAGGAAAAAGUCGAAGAAUUAGUUGCUGAAUUCCAUGAUGUUGAGAGCAAAGCUGCUGAGGCGCAAGAAUCACUUGAAAAGGAAUCACUGGAAAAAAUUGAGGCUGAAGUAAGAUUGGAGUUAUCUGAGAGGCUCCAAGGAGAUGCGUUGGACUUAGCUGUGGCAAUUGAGAUGGAGCAAUUCAAGAAGGAAUGGUCAACCGAACUUGAUGAUUUGGAGAUCCGUAGUGCUGUUCUGCUGGAAGAACUUGAUGCUGCUGGCGUUGAACUUCCCAGCCUUUAUAAAUCAAUAGAAAGUCAAGCGCCAAAUGUUUGUGAGACUGAAGCAUGGAAAAACAGGACUCAUUGGGCUGGUUCUCAAGUUCCUGAACAAGCUAAUCUAUCAAUCAGAAAAGCUGAUGAGUACCUGCAGUCUUGUAGACCUGUAAGGAGAAAACAUGGAAGGCUGCUGGAGGAAGGUGCUAGUGGCUUUCUUGCAGGAAAAGUUCCUCUUGUGGAUGAUGAUUCUGUACAGUGCCAUGAGAAAAGUUGGAGUUCAUUCAAUGAACUUAUUAAAUCUAUUAAGUGUGCCAAAACUUCUUUUGGAAGCAGUAACUGGGCAUCAGUUUAUCUGGCCAAUACACCCCAGGAAGCUGCCGCCUUAGGUCUCCAAUUUCCAGGAGUUGAUGAGGUGGAGGAGAUAGCUGAAGUUGAUGGUGCUGUUGAUGACAUAAAAUGUGUUGAUGAAAUAGAGCUUUCUGAAGAACAGAGGAGAAAAUACAGAAAGGUAAGAGAAGAAGAUGAUGCAAAGGCGAUAAAACGUUUGCGGCGUUAUAUGGAAAAAAGGACAGACGGCUGGUGCAAGGUACCUGCUCAUGGCAAUGUCGGUUUGACCUCGUCAUCAAAUGGAUGCUGUAAGCUACCUCUGUCAUUAGAUGAUGGUGUUUUGGACGCCAACAGGGGUCGUCCUUUAUCUGAGAAACAGAAAAUGGAUAAAGAUGAAGUUUCCGCUGAGUUGCUGAAGCGAACACGUGAAGAUGAUGUUGAGCUUGACCACAAGAGGUCAAAAACUAUAGUGAUAGAGAGUGACGAUGACAUGCAGAUGGACAGCAAGCUAGUUCUGCAUAUCAAGGACAGCGAGCAUAGUUCAGCAGAGCUUGAAAAGGGGGUUGACAUUAUUGAUCUUGAUCUUUUCCCAUCACAAAGCCCUAAGUUUAGUGAUAUGGAUUUACCCAAGUCUUUUAAGUGCACAAUUUGCACCAAAAUGUUGAAUGCCUCUGAUGUGCAUCGUCACCCAGUACUGGAUGUUGCUGUUUGUGGGUCUUGCAGAUUUCUGGUGAUAGAGAAGAACCGUCUUGAGGGCCCUGUAUCUGGUGGUUAUUGCACCUGGUGUGUUCAGUGUGAACAACUUCUAAGUUGCAGUUCCUGUAAGAUGCUUUUUUGUACAAAAUGCUUGUUAAAGAAUCUUGGUGAGAAAUGCAUAUCAGAAGCUAAAGUCACUGGCUGGCAGUGUUGCUGCUGCCAACCCAGUCAACUGGAACACUUAGUUUCUGAAUGUGAUAAGGCUCUGAGUGGUGUUGAAUCUUCUGAUCUCGAGGGUGACAACACUUCUGGAACCGAAACCAAUGACCCUGUUAGCAAGCACAAAAGGAAAAAGAAGAUAAGAAGAAUCAUGGAUGAUACAGAACUUGGGGAGGAAACAAAGCGUAAAAUUGCAAUGGAGAAGGCUAGGCAAGAACAUUUGAAGUCAAUGCAUGAGCAGUCUGCCAGCAAGUUAAGGAGCAGCAACAUUGGAACUUCCUCUGGGGCUGUAUUGGAAGUCUUUCUACAGGAUGCUGGGGAUGGCCAUAUUGUCAACCCUGCCAGGGAGGAAGACGAGGAACCUGUUAGAAUUCCAAGCAGCAUAUCUGCUAAACUGAAGCCUCAUCAGGUAGCAGGAAUAAUAUUUAUGUGGGAAAAUGUUAUCCAGUCUGUUAGAACAGUCAAAUCUGGUGACAAAGGUUUUGGGUGCAUUUUGGCGCAUAACAUGGGGCUUGGGAAAACUUUUCAGGUUAUUACCUUCCUGUACGUUGUUAUGAGAUGUGCCCAGUUGGGACUCCGCACGGCACUUAUAGUUACCCCUGUUAAUGUUCUGCAUAAUUGGAAGAAAGAGUUCACCAAGUGGCAACCGGCCGAACUAAAGCCCCUUCGUGUGUACAUGCUGGAAGAUGUUCCGAGGCUAAAAAGGCUGUAUUUACUUAACAAGUGGCGAGCAAAAGGUGGAGUACUUCUCAUUGGUUAUUCAUCAUUUAGGAACUUAUCUCUUGGAAGACAUGUGAAGGAAAAAGAUACUGCAGAUGAGAUUUCUAAUGCGUUGCAGUGUGGGCCAGAUAUUCUUGUAUGUGAUGAAGCACAUAUGAUAAAGAAUAGGAAGGCCGACACUACACACGCUCUAAAACAAGUAAAGACGCAAAGAAGAAUUGCGUUAACUGGAUCCCCAUUACAGAAUAAUUUGAUGGAAUAUUACUGUAUGGUUGAUUUUGUCAGGGAAGGUUUUCUUGGAAGCAGCCAUGAAUUCCGCAAUAGGUUCCAGAACCCGAUUGAAAAUGGGCAGCACACAAAUUCUACAUCAGAUGAUGUCAAGAUCAUGAACCAACGGUCACACAUUCUGUAUGAACAGCUGAAAGGCUUUGUCCAGCGAAUGGACAUGAAUGUGGUGAAGAAUGAUCUACCGCCGAAGAAGGUUUUUGUCAUUACCGUAAAGCUCUCUCAACUGCAAAGAAAACUAUACCGAAGAUUCUUGGAUGUGCAUGGUUUCUCAAGCGGCACUUCUGAAAAACCUUAUCAGCACGGUGGCUUCUUUGCCAAAUAUCAAAAACUAGCCCAGAUAUGGAACCACCCGGGCCUUCUCCAGAUGGCUAAAGAGCAGAGAGGAAGUCUGCGCCGAGAAGAUGCUGUUGAGAACUUUCUGACGGAUGAGAGUUCUAGUGACGAUAAUCAUAGUAUUGAAAUUCAACUGCCAAAUGGAGGGAAACAGAAGAGUAGGACUGAUCAGCAGUCCAAGAAAAUUGACUUACUGAACGAGGAAAGUAACUGGUGGGAGAACCUUCUGGAUGAUAAUACUUUUAAGGAAGCAGAUUACAGUGGCAAAAUGGUCUUGCUCCUUGAUAUACUGGCGACUUGUUAUGAAUUGGGUGACAAGGCACUAGUGUUCAGCCAGAAUUUGACCACUUUGGAUUUGGUGGAGUUUUAUCUAUCUAAGAUGCAAAUCAAAGGAAAAGAAGGCAAAUAUUGGAAGCAGGGCAAGGACUGGUACAGGCUUGAUGGGAGCACUCCAUCAUCCGAGCGGCAGAACCUUGUCGAAAGAUUUAAUGACCCUGCAAACACAAGAGUAAAAUGCACAUUGAUAUCUACUCGAGCUGGAUCUCUGGGUAUCAACCUUCAUGCAGCAAACCGUGUGGUCCUUCUGGAUGGUUCAUGGAAUCCAACACAUGAUUUGCAGGCCAUUUAUCGGGUUUGGAGGUAUGGCCAGAUGAAACCUGUGUAUGCUUACCGCCUAAUGGCACAUGGAACAAUGGAAGAGAAAAUAUAUAAGCGGCAGGUGACAAAAGAAGGGCUCGCAGCAAGAGUGGUGGAUAGACAACAAGUAUCUAGAACAAUUUCCAAAGAAGAGAUGUUGCAUCUCUUUGAAUUUGGUGAUGAGGAAUUGUUGGACGAGAGUGGGAAUGAUACCAUAAUUGAUCGCACGAAGGUUGGAAUGGAGAAGCUAUCCAUGCCCAAUAGCACUGAACUACCGGUGGACACGCUCAUGCUGAACCUACUUAGUGAUCACCCUCGGUGGAUUGCAGGUUACCAUGAACACGAAGUUCUUCUGCAAGAAAACGAAGAGGAAAGACUCACCAAGGAAGAGCAAGAUAUGGCAUGGUCAAAUUUUAAACAAUCGCAGCAGUUGGAUGCCGUGGCAAGGAAAGCUGCACAUGAUCACGAGAGAAAACCAAUAGAGAGCAAACCUCCCCCGCCUAAAGUUACUUCAAGAAGUCGGCAGGCGCAGCAACCAAAAUCUCAUUCGAACAACCAGAAGAAAUGCACCAACUUGAACCACAUGCUGACUCUCAGAAGCCACGGUACCAAAGCUGGAUGCACGACAAGCUGUGACGAAUGUGGCCAGACCAUUAGUUGGGAGACACUAAACAGAUCAGAUGGUAGAUUGAGGUGA
rnacentral:rRNA from 1 species